AGUGAACGCUGGCGGUAGGCCUAACACAUGCAAGUCGAACGGCAGCACAGUAAGAGCUUGCUCUUACGGGUGGCGAGUGGCGGACGGGUGAGGAAUACAUCGGAAUCUACUUUUUCGUGGGGGAUAACGUAGGGAAACUUACGCUAAUACCGCAUACGACCUACGGGUGAAAGCAGGGGAUCUUCGGACCUUGCGCGAUUGGAUGAGCCGAUGUCGGAUUAGCUAGUUGGCGGGGUAAAGGCCCACCAAGGCGACGAUCCGUAGCUGGUCUGAGAGGAUGAUAGGCGACAUGGGAACGGAGACACGGUCCAGACGCCUAAGGGAGGCAGCAGUGGGGAAUAUUGGACAAUGGGGGCAAGCCUGAUCCAGCCAUACCGCGUGGGUGAAGAAGGCCUUCGGGUUGUAAAGCCCUUUUGUUGGGAAAGAAAAGCAGCAGGUUAAUACCCCGCUGUUCCGACGGUACCCAAAGAAUAAGCACCGGCUAACUUCGUG
rnacentral:rRNA from 1 species